GACGAACGCUGGCGGCGUGCCUAAUACAUGCAAGUCGAACGAACCGCGACUAGGUGCUUGCACUUGGUCAAGGUGAGUGGCGAACGGGUGAGUAACACGUGGGUAACCUACCUCAUAGUGGGGGAUAACAGUCGGAAACGACUGCUAAUACCGCAUAGGACAUAGGAUCACAUGAUUCUGUGAGGAAAGGUGGCGCAAGCUAUCGCUAAGAGAUGGACCCGCGGUGCAUUAGCUAGUUGGUAGGGUAAAGGCCUACCAAGGCGAUGAUGCAUAGCCGACCUGAGAGGGUGAUCGGCCACAUUGGGACUGAGACACGGCCCAAACUCCUACGGGAGGCAGCAGUAGGGAAUCUUCCACAAUGGACGCAAGUCUGACGGAGCAACGCCGCGUGAGUGAAGAAGGUCUUCGGAUCGUAAAGCUCUGUUGUUAGAGAAGAACAGCGCAUAGAGUAACUGUUAUGCGUGUGACGGUAUCUAACCAGAAAGCCACGGCUAACUACGUG
rnacentral:rRNA from 1 species